ACGCUCGACACCUACUGGAGGCAGCAGUGGGGAAUAUUGCACAAUGGGGGAAACCCUGAUGCAGCGACGCCGCGUGAGCGAAGAAGUAUCUCGGUAUGUAAAGCUCUAUCAGCAGGGAAGAAGAUGACGGUACCUGACUAAGAAGCACCGGCUAAAUACGUGUCAGCAGCCGCGGUAAUCUGAGCGGGCUGGCAAGGC
rnacentral:rRNA from 1 species